GUGUGAUUGCAGAUCCCGUGAAUCAUCGAGUUUUUGAACGCAAGUUGCGCCCGAAGCCUUUCGGCCGAGGGCACGCCUGCCUGGGUGUCA
rfam:Ricinus communis cultivar Hale ctg_1100012340798, whole genome shotgun sequence.